rnacentral:rRNA from 1 species
UACAGAGGUCCCAAGCGUUGUUCGGAUUCACUGGGCGUAAAGGGUGCGUAGGCGGUCGGGUAAGUCUGAUGUGAAAUCUCACAGCUUAACUGUGAAACUGCAUUGGAUACUAUCCGGCUCGAGGAAUGGAGGGGAGACUGGAAUACUUGGUGUAGCAGUGAAAUGCGUAGAUAUCAGGAGGAACACCUGCGGUGUAGACGGCUUUCUGGACCAUUGCUGACGCUGAGACACGAAAGCGUGGGUAGCAAACAGG